UAAAACUAAACAUAGCUCAUUUUCUGAAUGAUAAGAUAAGAGUUAUUUCGUACGUUUUUAAUAAAAAUAAAAAUAAAGAAAAAAAUAUUUAAAAAAAUGAAAAAUGUACAUAAAAAAUUUUUUUCUAAUCAGCAUUAUCAGCAAAUCAAAAUGUUAAAAUUCAAGGAUUGUUAUUCCAGUGUUGCAUAACAUAAAAUGGAUAAAUCGAUAAAGCAAGUAGCAUGUAUAAAUUUGACAUGAAGCGGUUUCGUUGAAGUCAAAAUCAUAUCUCCCAUGAAUUUAGCAUCAUCCAAUUCGUCCACUGGUUCUAAUCGAAAAUGAUGCAAUAUGUAGGCUAACAUUACUUUAAUUUCGAGGAGAGCGUAUUUUUGACCUAUUAAAAUAAAAAAAAAAGGAGAAAAAGAAAAAAGAUGAAACAAUAAUUUCGAGUUGAUCGUUUGUUGUAUGCAACAUUUACCAAUACAGUUUCGUAAUCCUGCACUAAACGGUAUGUACGAAUAAGGAUUACGAUUCUUUAUGUUUUCUGGUAAAAAUCUAUCAGGAUCAAAAAUCGUUGGAUUUGGCCAAUAGUUUGGAUCCUUGUGUAUACUGUAAAUACUUAAGCGACAAUCCACACCGGCUGGGAUUAAAUGAUUCUCUGAAAAUUAUAAUAUGUGUGUUAAUAAUUUUUAUAUUUGAUAUUUUGAAAAGACUAAGAGAAAGAUUAUUAAAUGUAAUUAUUUUUCUGUAAUUAUAUCACAUACCCAAUUGCAAGUCCUCUAAUAAAUAACGUGA